GUCCUUUAGAUAUUAAUUUAAGGUCUGACCUGCCCACUGAAAUAUUUUAAAUGGCCGCAGUAAUUUGACUGUGCAAAGGUAGCAUAAUCAUUAGUUUUUUAAUUAAAAGCUUGUAUGAAAGGUUGGACGAAGUAAAAUCUGUCUCUAAUUAAAUUAAUUUAGAAUUUAACUUUUAAGUUAAAAGGCUUAAAUUUAACUAAAAGACGAGAAGACCCUAUAGAUCUUUAUAUAUUAAUUAUUAAAUUUAAUUAAGAAUUUUUAAAAUUUUAUUAAUUUAUAUAUUUUAUUGGGGUAAUAUAAAGAUUAACAUAAUUCUUUUUUUUUAUUAACAUUAAUUUAUGAUUUUUAUGAUCCAAUUAUAUUGAUUUUAAGAUUAAGUUACCUUAGGGAUAACAGCGUAAUUUUUUUAGAGAGUUCUUAUCGAUAAAAAAGUUUGCGACCUCGAUGUUGGAUUAAAGAUUAUUUUAGGUGCAGAAGUUUAAAAAUUUUGGUCUGUUCGACCAUUAAAUCUUUACAUGAUCUGAGUUCAGACCGGUGUAAGCCAGGUCGGUUUCUAUCUUUAGUAAAUUAAAAUAUUUUAGUACGAAAGGACCAAUUAUUUAAUAUAAAUAUUUUUAUUUUGAUUAUUAUUAA
rnacentral:rRNA from 1 species